rnacentral:rRNA from 1 species
UACGGGGGGGGCGGAAGCGUUGUUCGGAAUUACUGGGCGUAAAGGGCGCGUAGGCGGCCCGCUAAGUCGAACGUGAAAUCCCCAGGCUCAACCUGGGAACUGCGUCCGAUACUGGCAGGCUUGAAUCCGGGAGAGGGAUGUGGAAUUCCAGGUGUAGCGGUGAAAUGCGUAGAUAUCUGGAGGAACACCGGUGGCGAAGGCGGCAUCCUGGACCGGUAUUGACGCUGAGGCGCGAAAGCUAGGGGAGCAAACGGGG